AGUUCCGGCAGAGACCCGGGUGAGACGCGCUGACCAUGGGCCUGCGGAGGGGCUGGGGGUUCAGGACCUCCGCAGCCUCUGCCCUGCAGGCUCCAAGUGCCCUCGCUGUGGCUCCCCUCGCGGGCCCAGGCCUGAAAAAGCCGCGAACCUCUCUUCCCUACCCCACCUCGGUGACUGAUGGCAGCUCCUCUCUCAGCCCAGACCCCGCCGGCCUCCAUGUCUCCCGGCCCAGCCCUGCGGGGCCUAAACUAAGCCCCUGCCGAGCUGCUAGGACGCAGCGCAUUUGAGUGGCUGCGGGCGUGGGGGGCCGGGAAGCAUGGCGACCGCCCCAACUCGCAGCGGAGGCCGUUAGGGUGUGGAGGGCGCGGGAAGGCGGGUCGCCUGCCACUGGGGCGCGGGCAGAUCUGACCGCUCUGUCCCAACUGGUCGAGACCGACCUAGUCCUGACGACAGGAACAACGGCAUUAACAACGGCCGGAAGGUGAGCGGUGUCCCAGACAACGACGGAUAGCGGCCACCUGGCCACUGGUCUUCCUUCUCUACCAGACCUGGAUGUGGGAAGAGACAAGUGGUGGAACAGGCCACAUUUGGCGUAUUGGAGAUGCCCACUACCCUUUGGGAAGAUUUAAUUACCACCGUUUAUAGAAGGCCCUGCGUGUGUAAAGUGAGAAAGCGGCUCUCAACUGCCCCCGCCCCAACUUUUAAAUAGAAAACAUUUGCCACAUUUAGCCCUUCUAGAUGGAAAGAGGUUGUGAUGUAUGAUAGAGUUAGAAAAUCACACAUCUUAUAAAUUCUCAUUUGUUCAAAAAGAAAUGAUAGAAAAUAGAUGUCUUCUGGAAAUGGCUUUUCGCAAUGGAAUUGUUGGACCACUUCUGGAAGCCAUACCAGGAGCGACAGACACAACCACAUUUGUUCAGUGGGUUACAGGGCAUGAAGAAGAAGACCUGAGAAGGAAAAGAAGAAGGUUCUGUGCCAGACUAGCCAUAUUCAGAAGACAUUCUCAUAUUCUUUCCAUUGUUUUGUGUGCAUUUUAUUCCCUACUACUGUAUAGAUCAUUGACAAUGCUACACUUUUUUUGAAAUGUCUAGUGUUUCUAGAUGUUCUGAGGUGCCUGAUAUAUGUUUAAACUAGAAGUAGUAAAAUAACACAUUUUGUAAGUAUCUUUUUGUUAAAAUUCGAAUGAAACAUUGUUUUAGGGGGAAUGGCCAAACCACAAGUUGAGUAAUAUGCAUUGUAUUAUGCGCCAGUUCAGGAGAGGAGGAGGAGGAGGCUGUGCAGAGAGCUCUGUGCCACCAGUGUGCUUACAGUGAGGCAAGAUUAACCAUUAUAUCUUAUGUUUGUGCAUUUUCUUUUACUUAUCUAUGUAUAAAGUGUAUAUAGAGGAAAACAAGUCCUAAUUUACAUCUAGUCUUUCUAGAUGUUAUGGAGGUUGCCAGUGAAUUACAAAAGUAGAGUUAGUAAACUAAUAUUUUUGUACAUUUUGUUUUUAAAUUCCUAGGGAAGAUUGUCUUCUGAAAACUUGAGCAUACUUGCCCACUGGGUUGAUGGAGAUGGAAAGAUUUUUAGGCCAGAAUGUUCACAUUUGGAAGACUCCUUCAAAUUAUAACUAUUGUUACAUGUAUGCAGUUUAUUCAAGGCUGCAGUGUACAUAGUGGACAGAUUAACUUCUUACCUGAAACCGCUAGUCUAUUUAGAUGUUUAGAAGAGCCUGAUGUAUGUUAAAUGUAGAGGUAGCAAAAUUUCACUUUGUAAAUGUCUUUUUGCUGAAAUUCAUAGGAAAUACUGUGUUUUGAAAAUUGAAUUAUUAAGCCAUCUUUGUGAGUGGUAUAGUACUGUCUAUACUUGCUCAGUAGUUUAGAGGAGCUGGGACGGAUGAAACUGCAAAGGUAACAUGCUAGUGUGCUCAUACUUGCACAUUUUCAGGCACCAUUUUUCUGUAUGUUUUGUGCAUUGUGUUUUGCUCUGUAUAUAGCACAUAUAAUGAACAAAUGAGUCCUAAUUUUGCAACAUCUAGUCUCUAGAUGUUAAAGAGGCUGGCAGUGUAUGACAAAGUACUUAGUAAAAUUAGCACUUUUUGUAAGCUUUGUGUUGAAAUUCAUAGGAAACCUUGUCUUCUGUAAAUAACUUUUGGAUCUAAAUUUGUUCAACCAUUUCUAAAGUAUGACACAUGCCUAUACUUGUCUACUGAAAUAAAGGCAGAGAGAAGAAAGGAAGGACUACUUCAAGGCCAAAAUGGUCAUGUUUAGAAGAUACCUCAGAUUAUAACUGUUGUUAUGUGUGUGCAAUUUUAUUUAACAGUGCUGUGUACAUGGUGGACAAGUUAUAUGAAAUAUUUAAUCUUUCUAGAUAUUUGGAAGUGCUUGGUGUAUUUAAAAAUAGAAGUAGUAGAAUAACACUUUCUGUAAAUAUCUUUUAAAAGUAAUGAGAAAUACUUUUUGGAACUGGCAUUGUUGAACCACCUCUGUGAACAGCGUCCUCUCUGUACAUGUUCAUUGGGUUGAGGGAGAUUGGAAGGAAGAUAUUGCAAAAAGUGUUUUGCUCUUGCGAUAGUUUACUGAGAAUGAUGAUUUCCAAUUUCAUCCAAGCCAAACACCGCAUAUUCUCACUCAUAGGUGGGAACUGAACAAUGAGAUCACAUGGACACAGGAAGGGGAAUAUCACACUCUGGGGACUGUUGUGGGGUGGGGGGAAGGGGGAGGGAUAGCGUUGGGAGAUAUACCUAAUGCUAGAUGCAAGUUAGUGGGUGCAGCGCACCAGCAUGGCACAUGUAUACAUAUGUAACUAACCUGCACAAUGUGCACAUGUACCCUAAAACUUAAAAGUAUAAUAAUAAAAAAUAAAAAGUGUUUUGCUAAUGUUUACUAGAAAAUUUCAGCUUAAUCCAUUACCUAUAUGUUACAUGCAUUGCAUUUAACUUUGCUAUACUGUAUAUAUUGUGUGUAUACUGGAUGAAGUAGUCUUAAUUUUAUAAUAUCUAGUCUAGUCUCUAGAUAUUAAAGAGGUUGCCAAUUUAUAACAAUUUAUGAGAGUUAGUUUACUAACUCUAUUUUUGUACACUUUGUUGAAAUUCAUAGAAAGGCUGUCUUCUGAAAAGGACUUUUGGAAGUGAAAUGAUAACAUCAGUUCUAAAUGACACAUAUGCCUAUAUCCACUAGGUUGGUGGUAGAGAGGAGUUAGAAGGAAUGAAAGAUUUUAGACCAGAAUGUUCCUAUUUAGAAGACACUUUCAGAUAUAACCAUUGUUACCUGUGUAUAUAGUGGACAAAUUUAAGUCCUUAUUUGAAACAUCUAGUCUUUCUAGAAGUGCACAAAGUAUGUUAAAAGUAGAGGGAGUAAAUAACACUUUGUAGAUAUCCUUUUGAUUCAUAUGAAAUAUUGUCUUUGGGAAAUGGAUCAAACCACUUAUCUGAGCAGUACACAUUACUAUAUGUGUGUUGGCUCAGGGAGGAAAGAGGAGCAGAAAGGGCAAAGGGUAAUUGAAACACCAGUGUGUUUAUGGUGAGGCACACUUUACCAUUGUCCCUUAUGUCUGCAUUUUCUUUUACUGUGCUGUGUAUAUAGUGCAUAUAAGUGGACAAAUUAGUCCUAAUUUUCAACAUCUAGUCUUUGUAGAUAUUAAGAUGUUUCUAGUGUAUGACAAAAGUAGAGUUAGUAAACUACUGUACUGAGUACACUUUUUGGUAAAAUUCAUAGGGAAGACUGUUCUUAAAAACACAAAAGG
rnacentral:lncRNA from 1 species